rnacentral:rRNA from 1 species
GAAUCUUAGACAAUGGGGGAAACCCUGAUCUAGCCAUGCCGCGUGAGUGACGAAGGCCCUAGGGUCGUAAAGCUCUUUCAGCUGUGAAGAUAAUGACGGUAGCAGCAGCAGAAACCCCGGCUAACUCCGUGCCAGCAGCCGCGGUAAUACGGAGGGGUUUAGCGUUGUUCGGAAUUCAUGGGCGUAAAGCGCACGUAGGCGGACUAUUAAGUCAGGGGUGAAAUCCCGGGGCUCAACCCCGGAACUGCCCUUGAUACUGGUAGUCUCGAGUUCGAGAGAGGUGAGUGGAAUUCCGAGUGUAGAGGUGAAAUUCGUAGAUAUUCGGAGGAACACCAGUGGCGAAGGCGGCUCACUGGCUCGAUACUGACGCUGAGGUGCGAAAGUGUGGGGAGCAAACAGG